rnacentral:rRNA from 1 species
UACGUAGGGCGCAAGCGUUGUCCGGAAUUAUUGGGCGUAAAGAGCUCGUAGGCGGUGUGUCGCGUCGGCCGUGAAAACCUGCAGCUUAACUGUGGGCUUGCGGUCGAUACGGGCACCACUGGAGUUCGGCAGGGGAGACUGGAAUUCCUGGUGUAGCGGUGAAAUGCGCAGAUAUCGGGAGGAACACCGGCGGCGAAAGCGGCCUUCUGGACGAGGACUGACGCUGAGAUGCGAAAGCGUGGGGAGCAAACAGG